AAUGUACUCCCUCCGUUCCGAAUUACUUGUCGCAGGUAUGGAUGUAUCUAGAUGUAUUUUAGUUCUAGAUACAUCCAUUUCUGCGACGAGUAAUUUGGAACGGAGGGAGUAUUUG
rfam:Triticum aestivum genome assembly, contig: Triticum_aestivum_CS42_TGACv1_scaffold_113963_2AS